rnacentral:rRNA from 1 species
UGGGGAAUAUUGCACAAUGGGCGAAAGCCUGAUGCAGCAACGCCGCGUGAGGGACGACGGCCUUCGGGUUGUAAACCUCUUUUAGCAAGGAAGAAGCGAAAGUGACGGUACUUGCAGAAAAAGCGCCGGCUAACUACGUGCCAGCAGCCGCGGUAAUACGUAGGGCGCAAGCGUUAUCCGGAAUUAUUGGGCGUAAAGAGCUCGUAGGCGGUUUGUCGCGUCUGCUGUGAAAACCCGAGGCUCAACCUCGGGCCUGCAGUGGGUACGGGCAGACUAGAGUGCGGUAGGGGAGAUUGGAACUCCUGGUGUAGCGGUGGAAUGCGCAGAUAUCAGGAAGAACACCGAUGGCGAAGGCAGAUCUCUGGGCCGUAACUGACGCUGAGGAGCGAAAAGGGUGGGGAGCAAAACAGGCUUAGAUACCCUGGUAGUCCACCCGUAAACGUUGGGAACUAGUUGUGGGUCCAUUCCACGGAUUCCGUGACGCAGCUAACGCAUUAAGUUCCCCGCCUGGGGAGUACGGCCGCAAGGCUAAAACU